rnacentral:rRNA from 1 species
AGGGAUCAUUACCAGAGUGCCCUAGGCUCUCCAACCCAUUGUGAACUUACCAAACGUUCCCUCGGCGGGCUCAGCGCGCGGUGGCCUCCGGGCCUCCGGGCGUCCGCCGGGGAAAACCAAACCCUGAUUUAAUCGUAUUUCUCUGAGGGGCGAAAGCCCGAAAACAAAAUGAAUCAAAACUUUCAACAACGGAUCUCUUGGCUCUGGCAUCGAUGAAGAACGCAGCGAAAUGCGAUAAGUAAUGUGAAUUGCAGAAUUCAGUGAAUCAUCGAAUCUUUGAACGCACAUUGCGCCCGCCGGCACUCCGGCGGGCAUGCCUGUCCGAGCGUCAUUUCAACCCUCAGGCCCACCCUUCCGGGGGAGCGGGCCUGGUUCUGGGGAUCGGCGGCCCUCGCGGCCCCCGUCCCUCAAAUUCAGUGGCGGUCGCGCCGCAGCCUCCCCUGCGUAGUAGCACAACCUCGCACCGGAGAGCGGAACGACCACGCCGUAAAACACCCAAUUUUUUAAGGUUGACCUCGGAUCAGGUAGGAAUACCCGCUGAACUUAAGCAUAU